CAGAAACCAACAACUAAAGCAAUUUAUACCGUCCAGUAGUUAUUACAUUAACUAUAAAAACAUUUUAUGACUAAACUAACCUAUCAUUAGUUUAUAAAAUGUCGCGUUAUUACAAAAUUGUAUUAAAUUAAACAUCUUUAAAGUUCCAACAAUUUUGUACACUGAUUUUACUCGAAAUAAUUAUUUUAUUCGCAAGACAAUCUACUGUUUUACUGUGAAUAACUAUAUUUGCGAAUCGGGAAUG